GAAUUGUGAAAAACUAAAAUCAUGAAAAAUCAUAAUUAUGAAAAAUAAAAACUGUAAACGCUUUAAAACUGGAUUGAAACUAUUGAAAAACCUAAACCAUUUUGAAUCGUUUUAAAUCAGAUCUAUUUCAAUUUGAUUCGAACAAUAAAUUGAAUCGUCGAUUCUGAUUUAUAACUACAUCUACGAUGCAUCGAUUGGAACUAUCACAAAAAAUAAGCACCGUAAGAUACGCUAACAUUACUAUCACCAAUCAAACAUAACUUUCACCAUAUUAUUGCCGACCAAUACCGAACAACAAUAGUCCGAAGGGUGAGCAAAAAAUAGCAAUGUUGACAAUAACGAUAAAGCAUAAAAUAGCCAGCAUGCCACAUCUAGACUCGGAAAGAAGAAAAACCAAAGACAACCUAUACUAAAAUCAUUAUGCACGGGAAGGAGACACCACAAAAUCUCUCUAAUUAAAGAAAUUCUCCUCCAAGAUAACUAAUAAAUUUUUUAACAUAAAAAUUAAAAAAAAUAUAUUUUAUAAAAUAUACAAGAAAUUCUCUCUAAUUAAAGAAAUUCUCCUCUAAGAUUUUGUUUACUUAUUGUCCUUCUCUCUAAGGACUAGAGGCUCAAUUGAGUGAAUCAUCUCCCCUGCCCCUAUUCUACUUCCCUCCCUCGGUCUUACUUUUUAAACCCACACGACAACCAUCUCCGUCAAUCAUUAUAUGAAGAGAUUGAACCUCCUAAUUCCAAAAAACAGUUGGAAAAUAUAUAAAAGAACCAGUUAUAACAAAAAGACUGGUAGAAGUCAAAGGGAUCUUUCAAAUUUGCCACACUAUUGAGGAUCUAUAUCCCUGCUGCACAGGCCUAUCUAUAUAUGAAUUUUGAAGCCUUCACCUUGAUGGAUAUCUCUUUUCAAACAUUUAUUCAUACUUCAAAUGUGAUGCAAAAGACAUGCUUAAUUCUCAAUUUUACAUGCAACAAGGCUGUGUUCUCUCAAAGUAAACUGGCUGAAAAAGUUAUUUAAAAUAACUA
rnacentral:lncRNA from 1 species